rnacentral:rRNA from 1 species
AUUGAACGCUGGCGGCAGGCUUAACACAUGCAAGUCGAGCGGGGUGAUGGUGCUUGCACUAUCACUUAGCGGCGGACGGGUGAGCAAUGCUUAGGAAUCUGCCUAUUAGUGGGGGACAACAUCUCGAAAGGGAUGCUAAUACCGCAUACGUCCUACGGGAGAAAGCAGGGGAUCACUUGUGACCUUGCGCUAAUAGAUGAGCCUAAGUCGGAUUAGCUAGUUGGUGGGGUAAAGGCCUACCAAGGCGACGAUCUGUAGCGGGUCCGAGAGGAUGAGCCGCAACACUGGGACUGAGACACGGACCAGACUGCUACGUGAGGCAGCAAGGGGGAAUAUUGGACAAUGGGGGUAACCCUGAUCCAGACAUGCCGCGUGUGUGAGGAAGGCCUUAUGGUUGUAAAGCACUUUAAGCGAGGAGGAGGCUCUUUUGGUUAAUACCCAAGAUGAGUGGACGUUACUCGCAGAAUAAGCACCGGCUAACUCUGUGCCAGCCGCCGCCGUAACAC